UGUCUCCUCCACCUCCUCCUCUGGUGGAUUCGGCCCGGUCGGCAACGUCCGGGCCGUUUUUU
rnacentral:ncRNA from 1 species